rnacentral:lncRNA from 1 species
UUCGAACUAUGUUUCAUUCAUAUGAUAGAAUAUGGGUUUAAAUAAAUUGUAUCUUUGCAGAGUGUUCCCCGAUAAAUACUUAUUUCUUUUAUCCAAUUUUCUCCAUAGAUAGUGUGACACCCCAGUGUCACCUAGGGUUUCUCUUAAAAAGCCAAACCAAGAACCAUUAUUUCAUGUGAAUCAAAGUAAGCAUGAGCAUCAAAUUAACUUAAGUAAUAAAGAAUUCACCAAGUAUAUACUUAAAAGUGUCAUGAUCAAAACAAUUGAGACUUUUGAAAGAUAAGAAUGUGCAACCCUAAUUCAAAACCCUAAGUAAACCCCAUGAACAAAAAUUCAAGAAGAUGUGAAAAGAGGGUGAAAAGUUUAAAAUUGUGAGUUGAGCCAAUUAUAUAAGUUAAAGUAUAUUUGUUAAGCAACAAGAAAGAUUGAGAAGGCUUAGCCAAAACAACUCAAAUAAAUCCCCAAAUCAGCCCUUGAUCAAUGAACCCUUAGAGAAAUUCAGAUUUCUGAAUUUCUGAAUUUCAGACCUCUUCUCAAAGAUCAUCUGUGUUCUCUGCUUUUCCAAACUCAAAGCCAGAAGAUUCAAAUAUCAAAGUCGUGCCAAAUUACCUUGAACACAUUCUGGGAAAGUUUGAACUCAAACCAAAUUCAUUUGACACGGUUUUGGCGCAGCUCAACCUCGGGACCAGGCAUUCUGACACUGGCACCUUGGUGACGCUACAACUCCCUGUCCCUAGCCUAAAACCGUACGUCGUCCAUACACAAAAGACAAAGCUUGGUCUGGUGAACAAAUCCCUUGCAGUGAUCUUGCCCAAAUUCGCGAAGAUUUGCUCCCAAUCGGCGCUUGAACAGGGGCAGAGGCAACGGGAACACGUGUUCGACCGCGGCUCACACCCCUGGUUCACGCCCGUUCGCGCACCGCGCCUUCCCAGUGCACGCCCGCGCGCACUCGCCGGUCCACGACCGCCCGUGCACCGCGCCGUGCCUAUAAAGCCUUCCCAGGCGCGCCCCACUUCGCCCCGCACUCACCCUCACCGGCCAGCCACUUCCCCUUAGCUCCGGCGAGCUUAAUUCCGCCCGCCAUUGCCGCCAGAGCUUCAGCCAUCGUGGCCAGCCCACCCCAGCCAUCCUCUGGGCAAGCCAGUGCUUCGGCUAGCUCCGCCAGUGGCCCGUGAAGCUUGCCAAGCCCUCGGACCCGACCGGACUUCACCGGAGGCCCGAGAUCGACCUCACCGGACUUCGGUCUUCCGCCACCGCGCGUGGACCGAGCUAUCCAGUGAGUCUCCGCCCAAUUCCUUUCGCUCAUGUCUUCUCUGGCAUCCCGUGGACCUCCCUGACCUAAUUGAUUGAACUACCUCGCCGUGACCAGGCCGGUCUCCUCGCCGCCGACGAGCAUCCCCGCCUGCGCGCGUGGACCGACCGACUCCGGCCAUCUCCGACGGCGUUCCGCACACCGUUGUGAUCCCCGCGACCUCCCCUUCACCCUCGACCACUUCACCGGAACAGUCUCGCCGCCGGUAAGCCCCUCCGCCCUUUUCUUUGCCGCGGCUACUGUUUAAGGUAGAAGAAGGACCUCGGGUUAGGUUCUGUAGAACCCGAGGGGUUUUCUGUAAUGUCAGCGACUCAUGUGAAUAGUAACCUAAGGACUGAUUCGCGAAGGAAACUUAGAAAACCCGCCAGGGACCCCAGUGCAAAGUGGAUUUCCAUUUAAUCAAUUCUGUUAUUCUUUUCAAAAUGACCAGAGAAUUUAGAAAAUCCAUAACUUGAUGAAAUCUUAAUAAAAAGUUGUCAAACCAAUUUUGCUAGCUCCGGAAUAUUGUAAUCUGUCAUUUAAAAAUAGUGAACCCUAUGCUUUCUGUUCUAAAUUUUAGAGUUUAAAAUUAAAAUCAGAAACCCCCUAAACCUUGUUUAAUUAAGGAAAAUUUGUUUUUCUUUUGUGCUGAGCUUAAGAAAAUUUGUAGAUGUUUAUACCUUAUUUAGACACUGUUUAAAAAUAGUAGGAACACCAGCAUUGGAAAAUAUGAUGUAGUUAUUCAUUUAAAGCUAUUUUGUCCAAAACUUAGAGAAAAUCAGAAAGGCAUUAGAAAUUAAUGAACAGUGAUUAAUAAUAUUUUUCCUAGUUUACUUAUGCAACAGAGAACCUAGGAAAAAUACAGAGACCAUUAAUUUGGACCAGUUUUUAAUUAAGAUGAUUUAAUUAACCUUAUAUGGACUGAAAAUCAAUUAUUCGAAUUGCCAAACUAUAACCAAAGUGAUUAAUAAAAAUCCAGUGAACUUAUAACCACCAGUGCCCCACUACAAAAAUACAGAGCACCCCAGCCCAACUCUUUAAGUAAGGAAAUUAAAUGCAAGGUGAUAAUAAGGCAUUUUCCAACUAAAUCAUGAACAACCCCAAAUAAUGUGAUAAUGGGCAACCAAAAAUUAGCUAAGUCCAUGAUGAGACAGUCCACCAGAGAAAAAUGCAAACCCAUGAAAAAGAAGUAAACUCAUGCCUUUUGCUAGUGAUUAAAGAGAAAGACCACUUAAUUCAAAUAAUGCAAACCACCCCUUCCCUUAAGCAAAAAGAAGCCAAACUUCAGAAUGAUUGCUCUUGCACAAAAUACCAACUAAGAAAAAUGAGAACUCUGUUGUUUGAUGUUUUUCAAAUAUAGUGGUAGUAGAAAGCACCCAUUUGGCUAGAAACUUGAGAAAACCAUAGGAAAAUAAUUAAAAGGUAUUAAUGACUAGAAAUUUGUAUCAAGUCAUGUUAUAAUACCUAAAAGCCAGCAAAAAUGAGUUUUAAAGAAUUACCCACUGUUAAAUAAUAGUUGUAGUUCAAAGUACCCCUUCUGCCCUAAAAUUUGGUAAUUUUGUCCAGAGAAAACCAUUUACUUUCUGACCCCCAAAUUUUGAGGCAAAGAAUCAUACACCAGUAACAAGCCACUGUAAUUUUUGCAGAAUUUUUGGAAUUUUAUAAAAGCAACUUGUAGUUCAAACCCACUCCAAAACCCUUAAGAGAAUAAAAGAAAAGGAAAGAAGGAAUAAACCUCAUCCCAAUAAACCUAACUUGAGAACUUAUCAAUUCUCCCUAAGACUUAAAAGAAAUUCAGUGGAACCCCAAAAAUAAACCUACCACUUACCUUAGCUAAGUCUAACCCAACUUACCAAGUAUACCACUAAAAGGGUUUUACAUAAGUAAAGUUAACUUGUUUGAACUCAAAAAGAUCAUACACCUUUAAAAGUUGUAAUUUCUAAAAGCACAUAUCAUAUCAUGCAUAUAUCUUACGCAUUGCAUUCAUUAGAUUGUAAUCUUGCCGACGGAGAGUACGUGCUCAUCCCCGAGCAAGGACCUGUCCAAGAGGAGGACCAGGAGCAGGCUUCAGAGGCUGCUAUUGAGGAUCUCCCCGCAGCCCCAGCAAUUGAAGGCAAGCCCCGGUUUUAUGCAUAACCAUGUUAUUAUAUGCUACUUUACUACACUUAAUGCUUGUAGGAUUGCAAUGUGCACUUAAGUGUAGGAGUUGCCUGAAACCUCUAGUUGCAUGAACUUAGGAUUCCUUUUUGAGAUGAAUACUAGUAUGCUAGGUCGAGUUGCUGCUUGCUAAUCAGGAUCUCGGUAGAAGUCGAGUGAUUUUUCUAGCACUCGCGCGAGGUCAGGAAUUGAUUGUAUUCAUCUUGAUAACGGGAUUUAUGUUGGUCUAUGGACUUGGAUCCAGGGAGGAUGCCUUGUCCAUGAGACGGGGAAAAAAUGAAUUAAGGAUUAAUGUGUGGAUACCUGAGUCAAGCUUUUGAACGUACUAAGCACAUGCCGGGAAAAAUGGUAACCGGUAAACCUAGUACCUGAGUGAAGCCGGGCGCGGACUUUAUCCCUCAUGCGACCUGAGACUGGGUCUCCCAUGCUAGCUAUGGUGGGUACAAGUGCGGUCACUGCACGGCGGCAGCCGGGGUCAGUGGAGCAUUGUAUGCCAAGGCGGUGAGGCCUGGACGCGAACGGGGAAUCGAUGGGGACGGUUGUCAUGUGUGGGGUCGGAGUACCCUGACUUGACGUGUGUUUAGGUUUACCUUGCAAGGUUUAAAACUCGAUUCGAAUCGUCUGCUUCUCGCAGCUAAUGAGACUGCUUGAUUCCUUGUACUGCAUCGAGUAAGAAGUGAAAUGUGGUUAUAUGAGAUAACUUGUUGAUUGAACUAAUUGAUUGUUACCAUGAAUUCUUAGAAGGAGCAAAUCUAGCUAAGUUAAUGAUGGUAGAAUUUGAAAAGCUAAAAAUUGAUUUUAGAAACCGCUAGUGCUUUUGGCAAACCAAACCCCUUAGCCAAACAGCUGCAUAGUCUAGAGGUAGAGGAGUAGACUCCUCACAUCGGUUAAGUCUAGCUGAGUAUUAGUAUACUCAGCCUUGCUUGUGGCACCAUUUUGCAGGUACCAUGCAGGAUUUGGUUGAUGGUGUGACUUGGCCUACCACCCUGCCACCGGGUUGGACGGUCGAGUGGGAUGUGGCUCCGGCAGGAGAGGAGCAUGAGGAGUAGUGGGCUAGGCCUUGCCCAUUUCCUCAUUACCGACGACAUCGAUUAUCCGCUGCACUUUAAUUUAUGAACUUUAUUUGCUACUCAAAAACUCCGAUCUAUGUAAUAAUUCAGUACUUAAUCUGAGGUUUCCUGUUUUAUUGUAUUUCUUCUGUGACUCACCUUCGAGUGAGAUUGUGGAAUUUGAUCCUGGUUAAGUGGCUUCAUCAGACUAGAUCUGAGGGACUGACGGGUUAUUCCGAUUUAAGUGUGUUACGGCCCCUGAGGCGUGACUUAGGCACUUAAGCUGGAAUAAUUCGGGUGGUUCUGCCACAGAUAGCAGGUUUGAAUUAGUAUACAAAAGCAAUGACUAUUCAUGAUUCCAUCCAUAUUGGAUCAAUUCUCGAUACCAUUUUGCAAUGAAAUUAGAGGAAUGUUAUGGUAAAACUUCGUUUAAAACGAUGUGGUAGAAAGCAACGUGCGACUUGAAGGACAUGAUCGAUUGUGGAUUUGCUUAUCCAUCAUUUUCCAUAGUAAUGAAAAUGCUCUUGGCUCGACAUAGUCUGUUCUAUUCGUCCCGAACCGAAUUUUCGCUGGGUUGUUUGUAAGUAAAGUAAAUAGUACACGAUGGAGCUCGAGAGGACAGAAUUUCUUUUUGAUCAAGGGAAAGAAUCUAGGGUUAGUGAAAACUAAUAAAUUAGGCCAACUUUGUCAGUCUAUCCUUAAUAUAGAAAUCAAAAGGUUAAAAUAAGAAAAAGUCUAAUUUUGGAAGAUUGUAAAAACUUUUUUGAUGAAAAGUCUAUCUGAAUCAAUUGUUCAUAUUUGAUUUCUAUAGAAGAGUGAAAUGCUUUAUCGAAGGAAAUAAGAAAAAAGAAAGGGUAUGUUGCUACUCUUUUGAAAGAAAAAAGAAUAGGAGUUCCCGAAGUAAUGUCUAAACCCAAGGAUUUCACAAAUCAAAGAUAAAGGAUUCCGGAACAAGUAAACACGAUUUUCAACCGUCUCAACAAUAGAAUUAGAUCUGAAUAAGGAAUAAAAGUCAAUUUGUUCGAGA